UCCGGCUUAUCACCGGCAGUCCCUCUAGAGUCCCCGACAUUACUCGCUGGCAACAUAGGACGAGGGUUGCGCUCGUUGCGGGACUUAACCCAACAUCUCACGACACGAGCUGACGACAACCAUGCACCACCUGUACAGGACCCUUGCGGACCCGACAUCUCUGCCGGAUUUCUACGACAUUCCAGUGCAUGUCAAGCCCAGGUAAGGUUCUUCGCGUUGCGUCGAAUUAAACCACAUGCUCCGCUGCUUGUGCGGGCCCCCGUCAAUUCCUUUGAGUUUUAGCCUUGCGGCCGUACUCCCCAGGCGGGGCACUUAAUGCGUUAGCUUCGGCACGGAAGGAGUCGACACCUCCCACACCUAGUGCCCAUCGUUUACGGCGUGGACUAC
rnacentral:misc_RNA from 1 species